rnacentral:ribozyme from 1 species
UUCUUUUUUUUUUUUUCUCCCUUAUAUCUUGUACACUCGCGAGAUAGACCAUGAAUAACACAUCAACAACAGCGCACGAAGGUGCGAGCCAGAAGACCGAAAAAUCGGCAACAAAACAACAAAAAUUCCAAAAAAAUAAAACCAAUACUUACAAAAAAAACCAAAAAAA